UACGUAGGGGGCAAGCGUUGUCCGGAAUUACUGGGCGUAAAGGGCGCGUAGGCGGCGUGUUAAGUCAGCUGUGAAAUCUCCAAGCUUAACUUGGAACGGUCAGCUGAUACUGAUGUGCUAGAGUGCAGAAGGGGCAAUCGGAAUUCUUGGUGUAGCGGUGAAAUGCGUAGAUAUCAAGAGGAACACCUGAGGUGAAGACGGGUUGCUGGGCUGACACGUGACGCUGAGGCGCGAAAGCUAGGGUAGCAAACGGG
rnacentral:rRNA from 1 species